UUAUAAAAAUCUAUAUUUUUUAAGUUUUAAAAAUAGAAAACAAACAACUAAAAAGUUAUUAAUCCACUCUCAAAUGAUGUAGUUUUAAAUUGGUAAGAAUUUAGUUCCAUGUAAAUUUUGAUAAGAUUUUUCUAUUUUUUAAUACAAUAAUUACUAGGAGAUAGAUGCCUUAAAUAUAUUUAUGAACUAAAUAGACAUAUAAUAAUAGUAAAACAAUACUUGAACAACUCUAGAUUAUUGAAUGGGUAAAUUGCAAGUGUGAUCCUAUAAUUUAGAGAAAGUAAAUAUUUAUCCCUAUAGUUUGAUAACACCCUCAUAAAGAGCCUUAAAAACUAUUUAUGAUGGUGUUAUCAAAUUGUAGGGAUCAUUUACGAGGUUUUUGCUCAGUUUAUUGGAGUUUAUUUGUUUCAUAGGUUUUGUCAUGAGAUUUAAGACAAACAUUUAGUAUCAUUGUUUGUUUCACAUAAUCACUUUUUAAAAUCUAGAAUAUUAUUAUCCAAAGAAUUUUAAAAUUCAUAGCCCAGGUUUUCUUUAAAUAUAAAUCUAAUUAUUUAGACUUAAUGAAUUUUAAUUAAUAUAUUUACAAUGAAUAUUUUAUAUCAUCUUAACUAGUUUCAUUAUUAAUUAUUAAUAUUCCAUAAGGACGAAAUUUGUAAUCUAACUUUAUUAAACCCUCCAACAUAAUUAAUAAUCCUUAAACUGUAGAAUUAGUUCUAAUUACACCUACGAGGACCAAUCAUUAAUGGAAGGGUAGCAAUCCCAACUCGACGGCCAUCUUUUUUUUUCUUCUUGAUUCGAAAGCAAUUUACAAAUUGAGAAAUCACAUUAAUUUUGUAGGUAAAUCAAAUUUAUCCUAACUUAAAAGCCCUUACAUUCAUUUUGGAAUCUUAAACUACAAGGGGCAAUGGUUCUAACCAAAGACGUUAAAAAAAGAGGUAUAUGUAUUAACCACUAAGCUAUAUUCAAACUAACCAUGGAAAUUUGAAUUAAAACAUCUUUUUAAGUAAUUGUCAUUUACAUGUGUAUUGUAUUUAAACAUUCAUGUGUGUGUCUGUGUGGCGACAAACACUUCAGGUAUAUGAAAAGGUAAUAAUAUCAACAAAAAUUGUAAGUUA